rnacentral:misc_RNA from 1 species
AACGCAUCUUGCGCUUGCUGGUAUUCCGGCAAGCAUGCCUGUUUGAGUGUCAUGAAAAUUAUCAACCACGACUUGGGUUUAGGCCCCUGGCGCGGCUUGGAUUUGGGUGCUUGCGGCCUCGUGCUGCUCACCUCAAAAGGAUUAGCUGGACAUGUCGUGAGACUUGGUUCUACUUGGCGUAAUAAGUAUUUCGCUGAGGACAUCCCUCGGGGUGGCCAAGACUCUGGUACAAACGUCUGCUUUCUAACCCGACUGUCUUCGGACAUCACUUUUUAUGAUCUGGCCUCAAAUCAGGUAGGACUACCCGCUGAACUUAA